CACGCAGCUCCCCUCCCCCCCCCCCCCAUCGAAUCCCGACGGCUUCGGCCUCGAUCUUUAGAUCGAGCUCGAUCCAUUUCGAGGAGAUUCCCGUCGUCGCCUCGCUCCCCAGACCUUAAUUCCAUCUGAAAGUUCCCAAUCGGUGAGCUUGAUUCCAGGGUUUCCGUUGUCUUCUUUAAGAUUUCGUUCAUCCUAUCUCGAUUCGAUCUCUGAUCUUGGUAAAGGUACCACCCUCUCGUUCUCUGGCUAUGAUCGUCUGCCAGUUCUAAUAUUUGCCCAAAUCCGUGGAGAAAAGUGUCAGCUUUAUCGAAUGUUUGUUCUCACCAUCCACGCCGCUCGUCUCUGAUUCCUUAAGGACGGUGCCUUUCUUGUUUUCCCUUGAGAUUUAAGCCUUUUUCACUUGGAUUUGUCACUUGCGGCGAUCUCUUUUUCUCUCGAUUUAUUCCCUUUUAUUAGCAUUUCUGGCUAUUGCUUUUGUAUUCUUCUUGAAUUUGGAUAGAUGGCAGGGGAAAGCUGCAACCUUGACAAAGAUGAAGCUGAGAUCCUCAAACCCUCGUCCUCCUCGUCUUCUUCUUCUUCUUCUUCUUCUUCCUCUUCUCCGUCUCCCUCUCCUCCGCCCGCACCACCGUCCCCACCUUCUCUUUGCCUGAAGCCUCCCCAGGAGCUCCCAGUUCCCGAGAUGCCUGAGAAUUCAGGAAAUCCAGCGGCGGCCGAUUCCGGCGCCGCUCUCUCUUUCGAGAUGAAGAUUAGCAAGCAGGCCCCUCCCCUUCGCUACAUCAACCGGUGCUCGACUUGCCGGAAAAGGGUGGGGCUCACCGGCUUCCGGUGCCGGUGCGGGGAUCUCUUCUGCGCUAGCCACCGGUACUCCGACACCCACGACUGCUCCUUUGAUUACAAAGCUGCUGGAAGAGAGCAGAUUGCGAAGGCCAACCCCCUCAUAAGAGCUGCUAAGAUCAUUAAGAUUUGAGAUGCAGAAAAAGCUUCUAUUUCACAGUUCACCCCACCUUUUGCUUCUUUACAUUGGACUUUGUGAUGAUAAAUUUUGGAAGAUCAUAAGACUUUUGCUAUAUCGGCUAACAGCAGAAGCAAUCAGCAGAACCAAUUCUUUUUCGAAAGCAAGCUUAUCAAAGGAUAUUUGACAGUUGAAUCCUCUUAUUGGGAUUCUCUUCAUGUUAGCCAUAUCUAUGUUGCCAUGGGCUACUCUACAAGAGAACAAGAUCCAUGUGAACCAUUUGUCAUUACAUGUGUUUCAGCAGAACCAAUUCUUUUUCAAAAGCAAGCUUAUGAAAGCAUAUUGGACAGUUUGAUCCCCUUCAUGUUAGCCAUAUCUAUGUUGCCAUGGGCUACUCUACAAGAGAACAAGAACCAUGUGAACUACUUGUCAUCACAUGUGCUUCAGAACUUCUCCCUAGUAAUGCAUAAGAUGCUAAACUUUGUUUGCAGUGACUUUUCCCUUGUAAAGGCUGUUGAGGCAGCUUACUUUUGGAUGAUGUUAGGUGCUCACUUUUACCUUUGUUGGAUGCUUUGCAGUUACCCAAUCAUACAACAUUCUCUUUUCUAAAGGAAAAGAUGGAAGUGUAUUCAUUUUU